UACGUAGGGUGCGAGCGUUGUCCGGAAUUAUUGGGCGGAAAGAGCUUGUAGGCGGUUUGUCGCGUCUGCUGUGAAAAUCCGGGGCUCAACCCCGGACUUGCAGUGGGUACGGGCAGACUGGAGUGUGGUAGGGGAGACUGGAAUUCCUGGUGUAGCGGUGGAAUGCGCAGAUAUCAGGAGGAACACCGAUGGCGAAGGCAGGUCUCUGGGCCACUACUGACGCUGAGAAGCGAAAGCAUGGGGAGCGAACAGG
rnacentral:rRNA from 1 species